GUAAUGUGCUGUGAUGAGCGGUGUCUGAUCUGCAAAACAUUCACUUUUCCUGAUUGCUUUAUGCUUCCAAUCCUUCACAAGUAGCAGAGAUGGUAAAAACAAGAGGAUUUGAUGCUGAGAAUCCUCUCGGCUGUAAUGAAUACCCGUGUGUGCGAAUAACGACGGGGUCUUGCUGUGGAAAGCUUGUGCUAGCCGAGGCUGGAAAAGCCUUCAAAGACAGGCUCUGGUGAUCCUGGGCAAUUCGGAAUUCCCUUGCUGAUGAUGGAUCAAACCAAGACAAGGAAACAGCGAUGGACAAAUGGGAGAAAGGAGCCGUGAUGAGCACGGAAGCUGAACAAACUGGCCUGCAGUGCAUUACACAGCAGAAUGAGCCCGUUCUCCUGCUCCUCCUUGCCCAGACAUGCUUACCAGUGCAUGCCAGUCCCUCUGAAGCCAGUGGGGCUGUGGGGAAUGAGCUGUGCAAUUGUGCUGCCCUGGGCAGACCUUCGUCAGAGGUCAGCCUGAUCCUUGCACCAGGCGGGUAACUGGCUUGUAAAGGUGCAGUCAGAGGACAGCUCUUACAGAGGAGCAAACAGCUAGAAAAUCUCCCAUCCCUUUGCUUCACCAGAGAAGAAAUGAAUGUCUUCCAUACAGAAAGUAUGGUGCAACUGAUAUCAUUCCAUAGUCUGCUGUAUCCUUCUGUCCUAUAGCUUUCAGCUGAUCAGUGUGCCAGUCCGAGUUUCUCAAGUACAGCAGGGUAGCAAAACACUGAGACAAGGGGGAGAGAAGUUCAGGGAGAAGAUGCCCCAAAGAAGCUACCACUCUUCACCAAAUCUAAGGGGUUGGAAGAAGGUGCAUUUGGAAAGGAUGAAAAUGCUGAACAUGGUUUUCAUGGAGAGAGGACAAGGAAGGACACGUGCACUUGUGGAAUGCGUGCUGGGGAAUGGCCUACAAAGCAGGCCACAAAAGGAUGCUGAGAGCAAUAGCAUAAAAUUAAGAAAAGGGGAAGCUGUAGGCUGGAAAGAAUUGAAAUUGUCCUGGUGAGAGAUCUUUAACAAGCUGUGGGUAAUUUCCUCAAGGGAAGUGAUAGACUCUCCAUUGCGGGGAUUGUUUAAAAAGUAAACUGGAUGAAGCAGUAAGAAAUAUGCUCUAAGGACUAAUCUGUCAACUUGAGGGAUUAAUGACCUAAUUGGUCCUUUGGUUUCCUUCCAUCUCUCAUGCUCACUUCUCUGUGAGCAGCAGCUUCUAAUUAUUAGGUAGGAGACUAGGCUAAAGGAGUAGUUUUACUGGAAAUGCUUACUUUCAGUGACCUGGUCUUCCUCCAGAUCUCUUGUCCAUGAAAAAGCUUUGGUUCUUUAGAAGAUAGAAUAGCUGUGAGGCUUAGAUGGUCCCAAAUUGAAACUUGUUUUUUGCUUUCCGUAUAAUGCCUUGAGUUGUUUCUGUUUCUGCCUGGUAGGAUAUUCUUCUGACGCCUGCCCCAAAGCAAGCUAUUCCUACAAUUUAUGAUAGCUCAUAAUUCGGUGUCAUUUCUACAUCUAUUGGCUGUGUUGUACUGAACUACUUUCUGCAUGCUCCUUAAGGCUUCUUCAAGGCACAAAUUGGCACAGAGAUUGUUCUGGCAUCAGGUCUAGUUGCUUUGGGUUAUCUGCUGAGGCAAAACAGACAAAGCUUUGCAAUCACCCUUCUCCCAUCCCCCCAUACUUUCCAUCUUCUGAAUUUCUGGUGAUAUGUUGCUUCCCAAAGGUCCCAUGAAGGAACAAAGGGCACAGUCAGGGAAAGAGGAAGGUCAUGAUGCUUGUCUUUUGCUAUUCUUGGUGCCUGGAAAAUGCACACUGUCCAUUGGAGAAAACUUCAAGAUGCUCAAGAGACAAGAACCUGCCCUGCACUACAAGAACAUCGAGGUGGUUGGAGGUAACUACAGCAACACAGAAAUGCAGCUGGGUCUCGCACCUAUCUCACCUCAUCCCAGUAAUGAUGAAGGGCAUCCUUUUUUCUUACCAUUUGCCUUGACUGUUUCCCCUUCCCUUCCCUUCUUUCUGUACCAUUUAGGAUGUGUGGAUCAUUGCUACAUCUACUGUGCUGCUAUACCCAAGGUCUCAAGUGCUGAAAAAACUGUCUUGCUGUAGUUUUCUUGUCAUCCUUUGUACAUCUGCUGGUAAAGCAGCCUGGCAAUAGAUGAAACUUUAAAUACAUUAGACAUGCAUUUGCAUUUGAAGGAGGAAAUAAAAUAUGCAUGAUUUGUCCUAAUUCAGACUCACAGACUGGUUCCAGAUUGCCCUCCUGCAAUAGGACUGUGACUUUUAAAAAACAGUUUCAAUCACUCUUCAAUUUUAUUUUAAAUUAAUUUUAUUUUUCAGGUAUAAAUGGUGGGGCUCCCAGGGCUUUGCAAUGAAAGCUUCUUUAUUUGGUAGAGGUGAUCUCUAGGUUUCAUUAUUUCUUUUCAGUCUUCAGACCUGGUUCCUGUCAACUGCUGAGCUUUGUUAGUCCCUCUAGCCUUGGGGGGUUACUUAAACUCACCCCUGGCUGGGAUUGGGCCCAGUAUCUUCUGUAUGUCUGAACUCAGCCCAUGUCUUGCCUUUCUUAUCUUAUUUUCAGUGACUUCUCAAACUACUUAGAGGUAUCUGUUACCCUGGAGCUUCUUAGCAGGUUGCAUUUGCUGCUUCUAACUUGGACAGCACAACCUUGGCAAAUGGCACUUGAAGUGGCAGCUCCUGUGGCUCCCCUUAUGUUUUACCUUUCAAUAUUUCAGUGCUUAUGUGCUCUGUUCAGUGUUACCUGGCUGUAAAAUUCCCAGAAGGCAACACAGUGAAGCAGGACCACUGGUCUUCUGUCUUAUAUUUCAGGCUCUCCUUAAGACCGUUGGCACGCAGAGCACAAACUUCGUGCUGAGAAGGGAUUUCUGCAGACUGUGUCCCUGGCUUGUUCCGUGCAACGCUGGGAAUUUAUGCAUAUGUGAUUGCACGUGGAAAGACCGAGCAAGUAAAGGAUCUGGAGAUAUCAGAGGGA